CUUGCCGGAUGGAUGCCGAUGGGUGUUUGGGAGAGCUGACCCCCACCAGGCUCUGGCAGCUUCGCCAGCGGGGCUCGGAGACGCCACCGUCACCCGCCUGCCCGCCAGCCACAGCACCCUCGGCCCCGCGCCCCCCACCCGUCCCGGCCACCGGAGCAGAGAGGAGAGGAGGGGGCCGCUGCCGGCGGGGUACCCCGGCCCCGUCGCCCCCGGCUUCGCCCGCCGGCCCCCGCCUCGGCCGUGGCGCCGGCGCCGCGUUCUCUCUCCUCCCGGCCAGAAGCAGAGGGACUCUUUAAUUUUUAUUUUUUAUUUUAUUAAUUUUCAUUUUCUGCACAAAACCAGCAAUUGUAAAUACUUUUGAAGAAAAGAAGUUAAAAAAAAAAAAAGUUUAAGGGAAAAAAAAAAUUUAAAAAAGCUGAAAAUUCACAAAAAAAAAUAAAAGAAGAGAGAGCCACGCACCGGAGGGAGAAUCAAAAAGUGACCGAGAACAGAGACCUAAAGCGACCGAGAGGUGAAUAUGCAGGAGAGAAGAGCAAAAACCCACCAGUAUGCACUGAGAAAAAUUUAUUUACAGAUCGAUCGACAAAAAAAAAGAAAAGAAAAAAAAAAAGUAACAAUAACCUAUUUAUUGUAUAUAAUGUUUUAUUAUAAAUCGUGUCUUGUAUAUUGCA